UCCCGUGUGGCUCAGUUGGUAGAGCAUGGUGUUUGCAAUGCCAGGGUUGUGGGUUCGAUUCCCAUGGGAG
rfam:Salmo salar isolate Sally breed double haploid chromosome ssa08, whole genome shotgun sequence.